GAUGAACGCUGGCGGCGUGCUUAACACAUGCAAGUCGAGCGAGAAGUUUUGAAAAGAUUCUUCGGAUGAAAUUUAAAAUGGAAAGCGGCGGACGGGUGAGUAACGCGUAGGCAACCUGCCCCAUACAAAGGGAUAGCAUUUGGAAACGAAUAUUAAUACCUUAUGAAACUUAACUAGUGCAUGCUAGGUAGGUCAAAGAUUUAUCGGUAUGGGAUGGGCCUGCGUCUGAUUAGCUAGUUGGUGAGGUAACGGCUCACCAAGGCGACGAUCAGUAGCCGACCUGAGAGGGGGAACGGCCACAUUGGAACUGAGACACGGUCCAAACUCCUACGGGAGGCAGCAGUGGGGAAUAUUGCACAAUGGGGGAAACCCUGAUGCAGCAACGCCGCGUGAACGAUGAAGGCCUUUGGGUCGUAAAGUUCUGUUCUAGGUGAUGAAAACUGACAGUAACCUAGGAGAAAGCCCCGGCUAACUCCGUG
rnacentral:rRNA from 1 species